rnacentral:rRNA from 1 species
CGUGUAGGCUGCUUGGAAAGUCGGAUGUGAAAGCCCUGGGCUCAACCUAGGAAGUGCAUUCGAAACUUCUGAGCUUGAGUAUCGGAGAGGAAGGCGGAAUUCUCGGUGUAGAGGUGAAAUUCGUAGAUAUCGAGAGGAACACCGGGCGAAGGCGGCCUUCUGGACGAUUACUGACGCUGAGACGCGAAAGCGUGGGGAGCAAACA